ACUCCUCGGGAGGCAGCAGUGGGGAAUAUUGCACAAUGGGCGCAAGCCUGAUGCAGCCAUGCCGCGUGUAUGAAGAAGGCCUUCGGGUUGUAAAGUACUUUCAGCAGUGAGGAAGGUGGGUAUGUUAAUAGCAUACUCAUUUGACGUUAGCUGCAGAAGAAGCACCGGCUAACUCCGUGCCAGCAGCCGCGGUAAUACGGAGGGUGCGAGCGUUAAUCGGAAUUACUGGGCGUAAAGCGCAUGCAGGUGGUUUGUUAAGUCAGAUGUGAAAGCCCGGGGCUCAACCUCGGAAUUGCAUUUGAAACUGGCAAACUAGAGUACUGUAGAGGGGGGUAGAAUUUCAGGUGUAGCGGUGAAAUGCGUAGAGAUCUGAAGGAAUACCGGUGGCGAAGGCGGCCCCCUGGACAGAUACUGACACUCAGAUGCGAAAGCGUGGGGAGCAAACAGGAUUAGAUACCCUGGUAGGCUCU
rnacentral:rRNA from 1 species